UACGUAGGUGGCGAGCGUUAUCCGGAAUUAUUGGGCGUAAAGAGCGCGCAGGUGGUUGAUUAAGUCUGAUGUGAAAGCCCACGGCUUAACCGUGGAGGGUCAUUGGAAACUGGUCGACUUGAGUGCAGAAGAGGGAAGUGGAAUUCCAUGUGUAGCGGUGAAAUGCGUAGAGAUAUGGAGGAACACCAGUGGCGAAGGCGGCUUCCUGGUCUGUAUCUGACGCUAAGGUGCAAAAGCGUGGGUAGCAAACAGGAUUAGAUACCCG
rnacentral:rRNA from 1 species